GACGAACGCUGGCGGCGUGCUUAACACAUGCAAGUCGAACGGAAAGGCCUGCUUUCCCUUGUGUUUUGGGGGUACACGGGUGGCGAACGGGUGAGUAACACGUGAGUGAUCUGCCCCCAACUUGGGUAUAAGCCUGGGAAACUGGGUCUAAUUCUCGGUAGGACUGCAGGGUGGUGCCGGUGGUGGAAAACGAUGUGCUAGUGGGUGGGGAUGAGCUCGCGGCCUAUCAGCUUGUUGUUGGGGUAACUGCCUACCAAGGCGGCGACGGGUAGCCGGCCUGAGAGAGUGGACGGCGACAUUUGGACUGGGGUACGACCCCGACGGGUACGGGAGGUAGCAGUGGUGAAGAUUGCACGAUGAGCGGGAGCCUGAUGCAGCGACGCGGCGUGGGCGGUGACGGCCUUGGGGAUGUAAUCUCCUUUGAAACGCAAGCAGGCCGCCUGGUUGGAGGUGUGGUGACGGUAGUCAUAGAAGAAGCACCGGCUAACUACGUG
rnacentral:rRNA from 1 species